rnacentral:lncRNA from 1 species
UCCAUCAUUGUCAAUUCACCUUAAAUUCUUGACUCUUUCCUCUUCAAGGGUGUUUCUGAAAGCAAAAGCUCUGUGUCCACACUACAUUAAGUAAACAACAGCCCUCUUACUGUGGUCUGACUGUUUAUGUCCCCCCAAAAUUUAUAUAUUGAAAUCUAAUCACCACAGUGAUAGAAUGAGGUCAUAGAUAGGAUGAGGUCAUGAGGGUGGAACCCUCAUGGUUGGGCUUAUUUCCAUACAAAAGACAUAUAGAGAGCUACCUAAUCUCUUCAAUGGUGUAAGGACAGAGUGAGAAGGUGCCAUCUAUGAGCCAGGAAACAGGCUCUCGUCAGACACCAAUGCAGCCAGUGACUUGCUCUUGAACUUCCCAGCCUCCAGAACUUCUUCCAUUGGCAGAAUUUACGUGGAAACAAGAGGACAAGAGAGCUGAAGGCAUUUCCUGCAUUGCUGAGAAGGGAAGAGAAGGGAGAAAAAUGUACCUGAGAACAAACAAAUAACCAGCACAACCCGAGCCCACCAGCGAUCAAUGGAAGAGAGAAAGCGAGCCAGUGCGAGCAGCGUUUCCUGAUGAAGAUCAUGGAGCAAGGUCCAUGAAGUCCUAAGCAAUGUCUACAAAAAUUCAUCUGACCCCAUUACUGACCCCAUUACACUCGAAGCUAAAGUGCACAGAGAGGCAAAUAAAAUACAGAAACAGGACAGGCGUGGUGGCUCACAUCUGCAAUCCCAACACUUUGGGAGGCGAAGAGGGAGGAUUCCUUGAGCAUAGGAGUUCAAGACCAGGCUGGGCAACAUGGUAAGACCCUCCCAUAUCUACAAAAAAAAAAAAAAAAUUUAAUUAGCUGGAUUCAGUGGCAUGCACCUGUGGUCCCAGCUACUCAGGAGGCUGAGGUAGAAGGAUCUCUUGAGCCCGGAAGUUUGAAGCUGCAGUGAGCUGCGAUCACGCCACUGCAAUCUAGUGUGGUGAACAGAGUGAGACCCUGUCCCAAAAAAGAAAAAGAAACAAUAUGUUUAUCAAACAUCUUGUGAAAGGUAAAUGGGAAUGAAUAUAUGAAGCUUCCAU